GAGAACGCAGGCGAAUGUGGCAUUCGCACACUGUAUGCUUGAAGUAGUGAUGAUGGGCAAAUUCGCAUCACUUAUAGCAGUCUAUGAAAGCAACCCAAAAGCUGUCUUCGAAGAAGCCAAGCGUUGCGCCAUGCCGUACAGCGAGAGUUUGUUGAGCACGGAAGAACAUGUUAAUGCUGCGGCUCACUGGAUUUUCGAAGCCCUGCGAAGCGACGACCCGAAGAGAAGUCUGCUGCACUAACGAAAUAAAUCUAGA
rnacentral:lncRNA from 1 species